rnacentral:misc_RNA from 1 species
GAUGAAGAACGUAGCGAAAUGCGAUAAGUAGUGUGAAUUGCAGAAUUCAGUGAAUCAUCGAAUCUUUGAACGCACAUUGCGCCCCCUGGUAUUCCGGGGGGCAUGCCUGUCCGAGCGUCAUUGCUGCCCUCAAGCACGGCUUGUGUGUUGGGCUCCGUCCCCCCGGGGACGGGCCCGAAAGGCAGCGGCGGCACCGAGUCCGGUCCUCGAGCGUAUGGGGCUUUGUCACCCGCUCUGUAGGCCCGGCCGGCGCCAGCCGACAACCCAUCAUCCUUUUCAGGUUGACCUCGGAUCAGGUAGGGAUACCCGCUGAACUUAAGCAUAUCAAUAAGCGGAGGA